UAAAUAAAUGUAUAAUGAAGAAAUUAUUUUAAUACUGGAUUUUUAAAUAUGUAAACUGUUUGUAAUUUUUAAAGAUAAAAAAAACCAAAGAUAGAAAUGCAUUAAAAUACAAUUAUCUUUGAACUGCAGGAUUUAUGUUUUGUGGAUGAUUGAAAACAGAAUAUAUUUAUUUUUUUUGACUUAAUUGCAUUUCAAAUUAAUUUUGAAUAAAUGAAAA